GCAGGACAGGGGGACACGGGCACAGGCAUGGCUGGGGUGGAUGGAACUGCAGGACAGGGGGACACGGGCACAGGCAUGGCUGGGGUGGAUGGAACUGCAGGACAGAGGAACACGGGCACAGGCAUGGCUGGGGGCCGGAGCUGCCUCCCAGAUGAGCCCUUCUCUCCUGGCAGCACCAAAGGAGGAGCGGGAUUCUCCUCAUGAAGGAGAAGCUUGAGGAGCCCUGGGUGUCACCCCCAGACCUGACCGAGCCUCUCUCCUUUUCCUCCCCACAGCCCGCCCAGCUCGCCUCCUGCUCCCCCGGCCCGGCUGCCCACGCUGGCCCCGGCACCCCGGCAUCGCCCCAGGCCGUGCCUCCCGUGUCCCCCGGGCCCUCAGCCCUGCCCCGGGGCCCCGCCUGUCCCUCACCCAUCGGCACCCGGCCGGACCCGCGGGCAGCCGGCCCCGGCCCCGGCUCCUUCCCGCACGGCGGCCGGAGAUCCCGCCUGGCCGCCCGGGCCUGGGUCCGGUUCCUGCGGAGGGGCUGCCGGAGCUCAGGGCGGCCCGGGCUCGCUGCCGGCCCGGGGCCCGGCCGUGCCCCACGGCAAGGUGCAGCCGCUGGGCGGGCGGGAGCGGCGGCUGCGGCCCGACAGCAGGACGGUCAGCAGCUUCUUCCAAGUCAGAACGGCGCCUCUGGAGAGCCCAGCCUGCCCCGGGGGCUCCGGGCAGGGAGAGGACAGGCAGCCCCGGGCUCGGAAGGCCUCUGCAAAGGAGCUGAUCUGCCCCUGGGAGACCCCCACGGGGCAGGGGAGAGCGGGGUAACCCCAACACGGACGCUCCUGCCAGGCCUGAGACCGCAGUGUUUGCCAUGCAUGGCUCAGCACGUGGUGGAGAAGUGUGUUGGAGCCAUCCUCCAGCAGCCCGGACGCCCAGACCACCACAGCUCCGGAACACAGCCCCUGGUGCGCCCAGCUGUUUGUGAUCCAAGAGCUCCAAGCCUCUCUGGACUGGUUUUCUUUCCUGUCUUUGGUGUGUUCAGUUCUGCUCAUGACAAACUGGUCGAUAAACGAGCCUGGUUUCAUGCCUUGGAGCAGAUGGAGGACGUGUGGGUGAUGUCCUGGGAAUCGGGCUCUUAUCACAGCUUCUGCCUUGGCCAUGAGGUGUCAGCACGCUGAACACAGCACAGCUGGAGCAGGGCUGGAGGGGGCUGCCAGGGCAGGACUCAGGCUUCAGUGCCAAAACUGGGGUGUGUUUGUGUCCCCAGCCUGGGCCCACCUCAUAUUAAUUACAAUUUUUAAUUUGAAAGCGUGCUGAUUAAGAGGCUGGGGAAAAUGGAAUGCCCCUCAUGAGAUGCUGAGUGGCAAAGCAUCAUUCCUUCAUCCAAACCAAACAAAAUCCCAGAGGCAUCAAGGAGUGCAGAGCCCUCCUGCAUUAGCUCCAGCUUCCCAGUGCACAGGUUUGAAACCAUGGCUCGACCUGGGGAGAUCCAAGCCAAAUCCCUGUUGGUGUUUUGGGCCCCUCCAAACUGGGAUUGAUUUGUUGCCACAGGCAGUGCUGAUAAUGAGUGUUGGAUUGUUGCUUCCCUUGUGUCAGUGUUUGAAGGUGGUUGUUUUAUUCCCUGGAUGAGUUUCCUCAGUGUGUGUGUGCUGUAGGUCCCUGUUCUGUACCUUGGCCAUGACCUGUGACUUCUGAUGUUGCUGUUUUUUACUUUCUGAUUAUAAAUGGAGUUUUUCCUGUGUGGCUGAUGUGGUUCCACAUGCUCAGUCCUGCUGUGGGAUUUAAAUCUGUCCUCACACACACUCAGUGCUCCCUGUUUCCCCCAAAUCUGGGCUGACACUUCCCAUCACAGGGCAAUUUGGCAAAAUCAGAAGGCUGCUUCUGUCUCCAAAGAGUCUUUCCCAGACUGCUGGCCCUCACUGCCAUGGUGCUCCUCUCGUACAAAC
rnacentral:lncRNA from 14 species